CGGCGGGGCGGAGCGCGGAUCCCGGGGCGCAGGGGGCUGCGGCGUUCGGGCUGCGGCGUUCGGGGCGCGGAGCGGUCGCUCCCGGCGCGGGGCCGCCAUGGCGUGGCCCUGCAUCACCCGUGCCUGCUGCAUCGCCCGUUUCUGGAACCAGCUGGACAAGGCGGACAUCGCCGUCCCCCUCGUUUUCACCAAGUACUCGGAGGCCACCGAGCAUCCCGCCGCCCCCGCGCCGCCGCCGCGCCCCGCGGCCCCCAUCGAGACCCAGCCUGGCGUCGAUGCGGCUGCGGGGGCCGGAGGGGGUGAGCCGGCUCCCGGUCUCGCCCGGCCCGGCCCGGCCCCGCACGCCUCUCCCCCGGCCGACUCGGUCAUGCGGCACGACUACAAGCCUUGGAAGGUGCAGCGGCCGGAGCCGAGCUGCAAGCCCAAGAGCGAGUACCAGCCCUCGGACACUCCCUUCGAGAAGGAGACGCAGUACCAGAAGGAUUUCCGUGCCUGGCCCAUCCCCAAGCGGGGCGACCAUCCCUGGAUCCCCAAACCGGGACCUUCCCCCGUCCUGGCCCUGGACCGCGCUCCCCCGGAGAAGCCGGCUCAGGAGAAGCGGCGGAAGGUGCACAUCGCUCCCGAGAAGAAGGAGGAACACCCCGAGGUGGAGGAUGAGCAUCCCAAAACAGUGCGGCCCGUGGAUGGGAGAGAGAAGGGUCGGAAGAAGGCGGAGGAGGCGGGCGGGCAGCCGGCGGAGCCCAGCAGAGGCCGGGCGGCUGCCGAUGCUGUCAACAGGCAGAUCAAAGAGGAGGUGGCGGCGGGGGUCAGCUCGUCGUACAGAAAUGAGUUCAGACCCUGGAUAGAUGUCAAGCCCGUGAAAGCGAUAAAAGCAAAGCCCCAGUACAAGCCACCAGAGGAGAAAAUGACCCAUGAAACCAGUUACAGUGCUCAGUUCAAGGGGGAAACCAGUAAGCCUUCUCCAGCUGAUAACAAAUACCUGGAACGCAGAAGGAUACGCACUCUCUACAGCGAACCCUACAAAGAACCUCCAAAGAGAUGUGCCAGUGCAGGAGAGAAAGACUUUUUAAGAAGAUGCUUCUGACAUAGCUUGUACCUCCCAACAUCCAAGGAAUAACAACCAUCCCCAACAGUGACAUCAGAUCAAGAAGUGGAGCCAUACAGAAAGGAGAAAUUCUCUAGCAUAAACGUGAUGAUACUGAUGUGCUCAGCUCGAAGAACAGUAUCUUUUCCACAUGUGGAAAAUAAUGUGAAGUUCAGACAUGGGCUUCUGCUCUGCCUUGUUCCAGCAGUGUCAUGGGUGCCUUGGGAACACCUCCCUAAUCCUGACUGUCAUGUGGAGGACAUGUGAGGCAAGAAUAAAAGAAAACCCUACUGGUGGAUUGAAGGUGUCUUUAUGCUUUUUAAAAUGCCAGCUUGCCCUUCAGGCAGUCUACUCCGUGGAAGCCAAUGAUAAGGACCAGCCACCAGAAAAAUGACGGAUGGUAGUGGCAGAUCUUAGUGAUAUGUGAGAGCCCUGACUGCUUUCAAUGUGUUCAGUGGUGUGAGAGAUGCGAAGGGGAAAGCAUUUCUGAACCCUCCUUGUUGUCUUCUGCCCACCCUAACCUAGCCUGUGGCAUGCAACAACCCCAAGACCCCAGACAAAGCUGGAUGUUCCUGUAUCUUCUUAGAGAGACCAGUGUGUCCUUUCUAGCUCUGAAAGAGGUCUGGAGAACUGGGUAACAGCAAAGAGUGAGGAGCACCCUGCAUGGCACAUGGUGGAGGGAAUCUCACCACAUGAUGGGUGGCAGAUGGGUCUGUUCUUGUCAGAGAACACCCGUAAGCACUUGAUAGUUCCAGUAGCAGAUGGUCAAGGUAGGGAAAUCUUGAGAGCAGCCCUUGGCCAUUGGACUGGCCUGCUCCUUGGCCUGGUUCAGGAUUUAGUACUCAACUGAGGACAAGUACAGCUGUGGCCACCUUACUUGGACCCAAGAUAUUUGCCCAGAGAAGCUGUGGCUGCUCUCUCCCUGGAAGUGUUCAAGGUGAGGUUGUACAGGAACUGGAGCUGGUCUAGUGGAAGGUGUCCCUGUCCAUGGCAGGGGGUUGGAACAAGAGGAUCUUGAAGAUCCUUCCCACCCAAAUAAUUCUGUGAUCCUGUGAUUUAUCAGCAGGGAUACAACCCCCCAAUGUACCCUGAAUUUAAUGAAACAGUGCUUUGGAGCUGCAGGCCUGUGAAUGUCUUUGCCCCCCUUGCCCCUGCUCUCUUCCCUCUCCACAUGGCCCAUUGCUGAUCAGAGAUCUCUUCCCAUUGGCUCCUUCCCUUGCAGUCUGCAAUGCCCUCACCUCCCAUCUGACCCCAUUUGCCUGCCACACCACCAUUCCUCUCUGCCAGCUUUUCUGUGUCUGUCCCACAGCUGCUUCUCCAAUCCUUUGCUUUCUCCCACCUCUCCCCCUCCAACACCUUUCCCCUCCACAUCACUCCAAAUGCUCAGAUCCACCAAGGACCUUUUCCUUCCCAUCUUCCCUCAGUUGCUGUCUCAUGUCCUGUCUCUCUUGGACUGUAAGUCUUUUUCUUUGCCUGUACUGUGUGUUAUCACUCACUACUUGAAUAAAUGAUACCUCACCUACCAACUGCCCCUUCUCUUUCUCGCCUUUCUUGGUGUGACUUCACUAGAUGUGUCUGCAAGUGCCUUGUGUGUCUGUCCUGGUGGCCAGUCAAGCAGUCAGUCUUGCUUCCACAGAUCUGGCUGUCUUUUAGAAUGAUACUGCUCAUGCUUUCGUCCUCUGGUACCUUCCUUUCUUUUUUUCCUACGGCCACAGGGACAAGCUUUGUUGUCAAGUGUAGGAGCCUGGCACAUUCAGACCUGCAGGAUCUUCUAUCCCGUGCCAUUCUGGUGCAUCUGAUACAGAGGCUGGCCUUUCUCCAGCUUCCUGCAGAGAUGUCCUGUGCUGCCAGGUGGCUCAACAAAUGCAGCAGCCGAGGAGAAUGAAGGAGAAAUCUUGUAGCCCAGAGCAGAGGCAGUGGAUGGUAAAGGAACAACAUUCCCCUCUAAUAGGAAGGAGUGGGCAGAGAUGUGUCACUGGAAAUCCAAGCAGAUAUAUCACUCUGGAGAAUCAGCAAAAGCUGGCUUAGGAUGUUUCAGAGAUGGAUGCCCAGGGGACUUCUUGUGGCUCAGAAGUUGCCCUGGACAUCUGCUUCCUUCAUCCCAGGUGAGGACUAGACCUGUCCCUGGUCUCUUCUACCUGUGAGUACAUCAAGGACCCAGUUGUGACUCAAGUCUCAGAUGGCUGCUUGCUGCACCCUUGUCCUAAUUUACUGCCUCAAAGUGCUAGUUUGGUCAGUGCUGGCUGGAGCUGUUGGUGCAUAUGGAAAUGGUGCUUCUUCCCAGGUGCUCCUUACAAACAUAGAAAGUUGCAGGAGCAGCUCGGUUCCUCUACCCUUACAGCGACCCUCACUGCCUGUGGUGUGACACCAGCCUGCCAGAAAGCAAAGGAGACUCCUGAUCAUGCUGAGUGAGCUCAGAGCAUGGUCACCAGUCUGCAGGAGUUGGGUCUGAGGACCUAAAAAGAAGCAAAACUGAAGCAGUUUGGUGGACAUGGAUGGGAGAGGGAGCAAACAGUGCUCAGUCCCCUGGGCUUCCUUCAAUGCCUGUUCCUGUCAUGUCCUGCCUGCAAGAGCAGACAGAAGAGAUGUGUAGGGAGCUCAUAUCCUCAGUGGGGAGCCUGGAAAUGCCAUCUAGGACAAGCAAGACUUGCAGCUGGGUUGUGCCUGACGUCUCCAGGCUGCAGGAAUUACGGUGUAGGUGCUGGAAAGAGGCAUUGGGAAAGAGGAUCAAUUCCUUGAUGUAGGUGAUAACCCUGCAUCCUUUCCUAUGUGCCACCAUGAUUUGCUUCCACCUUCCUUGCUUCCACGGUGCUGCUGCCUCCUCCUCCAAGCACUGAAAAAGCACUGAAAAAAAAUCUUAGCUGCAGUUUUAGGGGCUGGCUUGUAUUUAGGACGUGAUUCCUCCAUGCUGCUCAGGUCCUCAUCUGACUGGGAGAUAUGCAGAAGUCUUCUAACAUUUAGAUUUCUGCUAGCAGAGCUCUGUAAGGGCUUGCCUAUAUGCUGCUUUGGUUGGAACUCCAAAGGGCUGAGCUCCUUGCUGCUCACCCCAUACCUACAUCAGGCCAGAUUUCACAACCAGGCACUUUCAUCUUCAGAACCUGCUGGCCCCAAGCUGCUGCACGUUUCCAGAUCUUGCUCCUUUGCAAGGACAGCAACCUCUCUGCUUGCUGAAGUAUAGAGCAAGGCUGAGAUUCUGCACUUCCCUGAUACAAUUCACAGUGUUACCGCUACUGCUUGAUGUGCCUUUUCCAAAGAAUGCAACCAAUUAUAAAGUACCAUGUUAAGACCAUUUUUCAGGACAAAAAAGGUUUGUAUUUUUGUUGUUUUGUGAAGACAACAAGCUUCAGUGCACAAAGGGCAACACAGCAUUCAGAAGACAGAAGUAAUUUGUUAUAACCUACUCAUAAUCUAACUGGGAAUUGGAUUUGCCCAGAAAUCAAUGAGUUUCUAUCUUCUGAGGAACAUGAACCUGCCAAUGUCCUAGAUAAGGGCACUAACCAGAAGGCGGUUCCUCCACAAACAAGAGCUGUCUCCUCACCUGAAUUCUCUGGGAAAAAAAGGACAGAUUUCUCAUUUUUUUUCUUUAAAAUGUUCCUUCAGCACCAAAGCUCUGUGCCUGAGUCUGUUUGCUGUUUCUGAGCCACUGGUAGAGGAUUCCUGCUGCUUCUAGUUCUCUUAACGGCAACGUUUAAUUUUCCGUGUUCCUAUACAGACUCAUAACAGCUCCCAAAUAGCUAAACUGCUUUAAAUUAAUUUUGCAGAAGAAAAUACAAAGUCAUCAGCUCAUUUUGAUAUGAGGCCACCAAAACAUCAAGAUGUGAAUUCAUAGAGGAAGAGGGAUGAGAUGUGAGCAGGUCCUCCGCAUCUUUGAGGAACAGGAUAAUACUGCUGGAGCUGUCAGAGGCAAGUUUAGACCCCAAGUCACAAAAUCUUAGCUCCAUGUGAUUACACCAGGACCAACAAAGAGAGAUGGUGCUAUGAGUGCUCGUGGUGGCCCAUAAACACACCUGGUUAUUUCCAGACACCUUGUGCUGCCUCUGGGAAAUGAACCCCUGCUGAAUUUUCAUACUCUUUCUGCACCUCUCUCAGAUAUAAGAGGAGAAAUCUGUCGCCUCCAAUUCAUCUCUUCUACAUUUCUCACCUCACAAAAUUAACCCUACAGUUUGCCAUCAGCAGCCCUCAUGAGGGCAAAGAUCUCCAAACUUUCUCCUCACUUGGCCUAAACAAAGAUCCUUUGUAAACGUGUGUUGGGGCUUGUCAUGUUUCAGGACCAGGCUUUCCUCUCAACUCUCCAAUUUGCACACUGCCAGCUCACUCUUCCCAAGUCUGGUACCUAGGGCUAGACCUCACUGUGCAGCCUUGCAGAGGACAGACACGGUUGUCCUCUGCUGUGUAUGCUCUGUUGUUUCUGAAUACCAGCUCUGGGGGGAAAUAAUGUAAUUACCUACCCCUCACACUCCUUCCAGUUUAAAACAAGUUUGGAUAGACAAUCACACAGUUGUCUAUAUUAAUGCAAACAAAGAGGAAGCCAGGGGAUGAGAUGGGACACAGUCUGUUUCUUCUCCUCAGGCCUGAAAUCCAUGGCUGAAGGAUGCACACAGUCAUGGGAAAAGAGCCAGUAGAUUAAAAGGAAGAACAUACACUGCAGGCACCAGUUUUUUGACUGUCUCAACAGGAAGGGACCACCCUGUUGAGAUGGAGGAAUUCCCCUGGUGAUUCUGAGAUGGAGGAAUCCCCCUGGUAAUUCUAGCAAGGCUAAGGAAAAUGCUGGUGGAUUGAAAACAGUUCAUAUUGCUUCAGGGAGAGAUGAUUUUUUACUUUCAAAGCUCUCCUCUGAAAUGCAGGGUAGCAGCAAGAGCAGGGUUGAUACCAAGGAAGAGGUGGGAUGGCUCUGGUGUUGACCCACCUGGAUGUGGUUGAACCUGGAUCAUCAUGUCCACGCUGGCAUAGGACAACCUGAGAUCAUGCCCCAUAGUUCCUGCCUCCUUCCUCACUAAACGAGAUGUGAAGAUGUGCUUCAUAUCUGGAGUAGUUGCUGAUGGCCUUCAAACUGGAAGUGCAGGUGCCCUUGGGCACCAUUUCCACUGGCAAGGAUGUGCAGGCAUCUCCAGCCUUCUCUAGAGACCAGGCAGUGAGUCCUGUCCUAGCAGAUGCCUGUGCAUCAGCAGUGUGGCCCUGGUCUACCCUGACAAUGGACAUCUUUCCAAAGAGAAGCUGCUCUGCAUUUUUCCCCUAACCCUUUGAUUUAUGGUGCUGGGCUCACCUCAUUCCCAUAGGAACUACUGGGCUGAAAGAACUCAGCAGAUUUCCUACCAACCUCUGCCAACAGCUUCUGGCAGCAAAUGCCUCUUUGUAGUAAGCAAAUAGAGCAAGGUGAGGGUGAGUAUUUGAGAGAGAGAUGCCCUGCCAGGGCUCUUCACAUGGUCCUGCCCCACAAGCCUCUCACACAGAAAUGGUUUUUCUUGUCUGUGGGUUGGGCUGAUUUCAUAGACCAAGAAAAUGGUAACCAGCCACUCCAUGGUGUCAGGCUCUCCUUCCCUCCUCUAACCUGGAGCCAUUCCCGGCACAAAAAUGAUGCAAGACUGGGGGAUAAAUGGGGAUCUCCACAGUCCCUUGAUGCAACACCAUGUAAAGCUGUCCAUUUUAAAUCUUGGCAGAUUUCUCAUGCAUCAUCAACUGCUUUCUGCCUUUCUGCACCCUCAUAGACCCAUGUCUGUCUUCAUCCCCAGAGAUGCUCCUCCUCUUUCCUAAUGAAGACUGAUUCCCUUGUUCCCUACAGGUCUUUCCUUUCCCAUCCCUCCCUCUGUGCUUUUUCAAGAUCCAGCCUUCCUUCCAACACAUGUCCAGAGCUUCUACUGGCAGCAUCUACUCUAACUCCAGAGUGCCUUUGUUCUUUAGUGCUGGCAUCCAAGACUAUCCAGGUACAAAGGUGACCCUGCCAGGCAUCCAGUACCUUGGUGCCACCAUCACCUCCUGGUGUCUCCUGGGGGUAUUGAAGAGAAAAGGAGUGCUCUCAGAUUGGGGUUAGUAUACGUUAGCUGGGCUUACUUUCCUGCCAGUUGUUUUAACAGGUUCCAGGUGCUUCCUGAGCGGCACAAGAGCUCGGCUCCACGGUGACAGGGCUUUUACCCUCAUCAUGAGGGAAACAAACUGCUUCUUUGUGAGACAAUUUUACAGCAAGGUGUUAGUUUGAUGCAAGUUAUAAUCAAUUGGCAAACAUUUUUUGUAGCUGACGGUGGACAUGAUCCAGGUCACAGUUAAACCAAGGGCUGGUCAAAAAGUCCAGCCCAAGCCCUCACAGGUUUUGUGGACAACCAUGGGUUUUGGACCAGUUCCUUCCAGGGAGCAGGACCACUCACCAGCCAGCCUGAGGACAUACCAAAUGUGUGGUUGCUUGGGGAACACUCUGCAGAGGCAUUGGUCAUGGGGCAAAGUGCAGCUCAGGGGUGGCAUUUUGUUGGUAUGGGCCAGCUGAUUGCUCUGAUAGCUUUGCAAUGAUGAUCUUUCUCUGC